rnacentral:rRNA from 1 species
UGGGUAACCUGCCUGUAAGACUGGGAUAACUCCGGGAAACCGGGGCUAAUACCGGAUGCUUGAUUGAACCGCAUGGUUCAAUCAUGAAAGGCGGCUUCGGCUGCCGUUUACAGAUGGACCCGCGGCGCAUUAGCUAGUUGGUGAGGUAACGGCUCACCAAGGCGACGAUGCGUAGCCGACCUGAGAGGGUGAUCGGCCACACUGGGACUGAGACACGGCCCAGACUCCUACGGGAGGCAGCAGUAGGGAAUCUUCCGCAAUGGACGAGAGUCUGACGGAGCAACGCCGCGUGAGUGAUGAAGGUUUUCGGAUCGUANAGCUCUGUUGUUAGGGAAGAACAAGUACCGUUCGAAUAGGGCGGUACCUUGACGGUACCUAACCAGAAAGCCACGGCUAACUACGUGCCAGCAGCCGCGGU